ACCUCAGCCUUUCUCGGUAUGUUAUCGGUGAAUGUGCCAACGAAGAGGCUCGUCGUCUCAAGGGCAAAAAGGUCAGGGGAUUUCUCGGACAAUAGGCACACAUGGAAAAUUGCAAAAUAUUACGUAAGCGAUUUUGGAGUAGCGUUACUGGUCAAAUUCCAAAAAGCCGAAAUAUAGUAUUUGCAAAAAGUACUGAUUAUUUAUCAAUCCUUAUAUUUCAUUUUAACAGCUUAAUUACCAUGGUAUGAGUCUUAAGUUGCUGAUAUUGAAUUAGACAAUUUUUCUGUGACGAUUAUUGUCUUUCACAUAUAUUUAUAUUAUACCGUACGAUAUUGGGUGGAAAAAUGUAAAAUUCCGACGGUUAAUAAUUAAUUGCAUCAACAACGACCUUCUAUGCAACCUUGUAUAAUGAGAGGCUGACGAAAUUUCAAAAGCUGACGAAAUACUGCAUGCGUUUCCAUGUCGUAAUAAAACGAGGGGUGAAAGCUGCUUCUCAUUGGUCGAGCACGGGGGCUCGAAUGGUCGAUCCCUCCGCUAUGACGUCACUCUUUCUCUCCGCCCUCCUCUCUCUCUAUCGUAACGUCGGCUCCUACGUCUUUCACGUUUCACCACGCAUUUUCAACAGUUUCUCGAAGUCCAUCUAUUGCCAUAUGCAUUCAGCCUUUACUCCUUAACUUGCUCCAGCCAUUUCCAAGUAUCCAGUGAAACGCAUCGAUCCAUUAAACAAUGGCAGUGUAAUAUUUCCAGAAAACACUCCACGCUGAAUCCAAUUAAUUAAUCAUAUCAAGUUAUCAAUCGUAUCACAGUUAUCUGUGAACUAUAAUAUAUUUACAUGUUAAUACGCAUUAACCUCAGAAGUUUGGAUGGAUCAUGUGAGUGAUGCAUUAUCGAAUGCUCGAUAUUGUUAAUAAUUUUGAUUUUUAUCAUUCUAAUCUCUCCUUGGUAUCUUCACAAAAGAUUAUUAUCGGUAGAUAAUACAUAAUACUUCGAUGAUACAUAUCGAUUCACAAACUUCGAUUUGUAUCGAUUUAUCGAAAAAAAAGUCUACGAGGCAGACUUCAGCGAUAUGCAGGUUAAAAGCGGGUGGUUCCCCUUCGAUUGAACACCGCGACGGGAAUCGUGCUCGCGUUAUAUACUCGUACGUGAAUUCGUUCACGAACGCACGUGCGUGACACGUGGUUUGGUUCAUGCGCGUCAUCGGUAAGCAGAAACCAGUUUGCAAUCGUCCCUGCACAUCUCCGGGCAAACACGUUUAUAACUACGAGACCAGACAGUUCAGUCAGGAGUUAAGCCGAAGACAAGAUCAGCCGAUGACAUACAAAAUACAUAGAAAAAUUCAUCCUACUACUGGCUACCAGAAAUACGAAUCUCCUUCAAUGAAAAAUUACCCUUGGACUCUGUAACGAAGAACAAUGUAGAUAACAGAGAACGUGACUAGCUCAGGUCUCAGGGCAGCGACCACGAUCACUAACAUGUGGAAAGAUAAAAAACAGCGAAAAAAAAGCACGGAUUCGUCUCCCGUGAUUUCCUUCUGAACAAACCGUCAACGUGACCUUCGUGACUCCGUUUCACGAAUUAACCAUCAACUUUCGCCUUUGAAUUACUCUGUUGCAAAAAUCCCGCGACCCCAGACGUUUGAAUCACUGAAAAUCUCCAACUUCGAAAAAGGAUGUUCCAAUUACAUCGAUUCGAGCGAUUGUUCGAUUCCGUUGACAACUUCACGAUACUGCUGAUCUUUCCUGACGUCUUGCCACUUUCGAUAUUACCUCUGAACGGAGCUCCGUGACUCGACAGUUUUUAGCACCAACGAGGCACGAAGUGUUUGAUAUUUUUUUCGAAAAAAAAAUGUCUUUAUUCGCUGACAUUGAAUAAAUUUAAUCGAUUCUCCGAAUAACUGGAAUUACGUGCAACCUCCAAUGUUUAUGUGCAAUAUGUGCAACGUAAUUAAGUGCAACGCGACUUAAUUUUUAAUCACGUUAUUCAACAUUGACGGGCAAAUACAUACAUACUGGAUGCCAUAGAUUCUAUAGAUAUAAAUAAACCUACUUCACGGAUCGUACCAACAGAUCAGACUAUCGCGAAUUCAUGUCAGUCGCACUUCGAGUCGUCGGACGCAAAAUUGGAUUCACGAUUAUUACCGAUAUGCUAAUCGAGUGACGCGUUUCUUACUACUUAGCAGUAAUGCCCAUUAGCAUAAUGCAAAUACGUUCUCGAGAAUGGGCAAGAUCCGUUGUGGCAUUUUUGGUUGAUGUUUUGAAAAAAGAAUAUAUAUAUAUAUUUAAAAAUCAAAUAAAUACCACACGUGUUCGUCCCAGACUCUGUUAGCAAUAGAUCCCACAAUUGUGAUAGCAUCGAUCAUAUUGAAUGUCUGACGCAAUACUAAGCCAACGUUACGUCACUUGUUGGUCAUACGUACAUACGAAUAUGUAUAUUGCACUUUAUAAUAUAUCGGCCAUGCCGAGCCGACAGUAAAAUUUUUCAAGCAAUUUGACCAAUUGAGCCACCAAUAAAUUCUACGACGCGCACUGUACAUCGA